rnacentral:rRNA from 1 species
GACGAACGCUGGCGGCGUGCUUAACACAUGCAAGUCGAACGGAAAGGCCCUGCUUUUGUGGGGUUCUCGAGUGGCGAACGGGUGAGUAACACGUGAGUAACCUGCCCUUGACUUUGGGAUAACUUCAGGAAACUGGGGCUAAUACCGUAUAGGAGCUCCUGCUGCAUGGUGGGGGUUGGUAAGUUUCGGCGGUUGGGUAUGGACUCGCGGCUUAUCAUCUUGUUGGUGGGGUAGUGGCUUACCAAGGCUUUGACGGGUAGCCGGCCUGUGAGGGUUACCGGCGAAAAUGGGACUGAGAUACGGCCCAGACUACAACGGGAGGAAGCAGUGGGGAAGAUUGCACAAUGGGCGGAAGCAUGAUGAAGAAAAGCAGCGUGCGGGAUGACGGCCUUCGGGUUGUAAAAAGAUUUAGAAUGUGACGAAGAGUGAGUGACGGUAAUGGGUAAAGAAGCACCGGCUAACUACGUG